UUCUUGAGAUUGCACACAAUAUCUUUGCCUUACUUUACAAUAUCUCUCCUUAAGGGGGUACUGUACGGGUUAAAAAGGCAAGGGUAUGAUGUGCAAUCUUAAGA
rnacentral:pre_miRNA from 1 species